GUCUAAAUCUUUGUGCCACUAACAUCUUUGAAAGAUGCAAAGUUUACUUUCAGCAGCUUACCUCUUUCCCUUGUUUGUUAAUCCCUUUCACUCCCUUUCUGAAGAAAAUCAUGGCUCCACGAGGCCCACGAAGUGAUUUGUGAGUUGUGGUGGUAACAACAUCGGCAUACUCGAAAGGUGAAGGGAUAACACCGGCUGCAACCAAACCACUGAUGUGUGCCAUGUCUGCCAACAUUAUUGCUUUUUGCU
rnacentral:lncRNA from 1 species